rnacentral:rRNA from 1 species
GCUCAGGAUGAACGCUGGCGGCGUGCCUAAUACAUGCAAGUCGAACGAGUUCUCGUUGAUGAUCGGUGCUUGCACCGAGAUUCAACAUGGAACGAGUGGCGGACGGGUGAGUAACACGUGGGUAACCUGCCCUUAAGUGGGGGAUAACAUUUGGAAACAGAUGCUAAUACCGCAUAGAUCCAAGAACCGCAUGGUUCUUGGCUGAAAGAUGGCGUAAGCUAUCGCUUUUGGAUGGACCCGCGGCGUAUUAGCUAGUUGGUGAGGUAAUGGCUCACCAAGGCGAUGAUACGUAGCCGAACUGAGAGGUUGAUCGGCCACAUUGGGACUGAGACACGGCCCAAACUCCUACGGGAGGCAGCAGUAGGGAAUCUUCCACAAUGGACGCAAGUCUGAUGGAGCAACGCCGCGUGAGUGAAGAAGGCUUUCGGGUCGUAAAACUCUGUUGUUGGAGAAGAAUGGUCGGCAGAGUAACUGUUGUCGGCGUGACGGUAUCCAACCAGAAAGCCACGGCUAACUACGUGCCAGCAGCCGCGGUAAUACGUAGGUGGCAAGCGUUAUCCGGAUUUAUUGGGCGUAAAGCGAGCGCAGGCGGUUUUUUAAGUCUGAUGUGAAAGCCCUCGGCUUAACCGAGGAAGCGCAUCGGAAACUGGGAAACUUGAGUGCAGAAGAGGACAGUGGAACUCCAUGUGUAGCGGUGAAAUGCGUAGAUAUAUGGAAGAACACCAGUGGCGAAGGCGGCUGUCUGGUCUGUAACUGACGCUGAGGCUCGAAAGCAUGGGUAGCGAACAGGAUUAGAUA